rnacentral:SRP_RNA from 1 species
UGAGAGGCUGGCGCGGGCAAGCGCUUCGCCAACCCGGUCAGGUCCGGAAGGAAGCAGCCGCAACGAAUCCCGCUUGGGUCGCUGUCCAGCCUCUCACCU